GUUGGGUUAAGUCCCGCAACGAGCGCAACCCCCGCCGUUAGUUGCCAGCGGUUCGGCCGGGCACUCUAACGGGACUGCCCGCGAAAGCGGGAGGAAGGAGGGGACGACGUCUGGUCAGCAUGGCCCUUACGGCCUGGGCGACACACGUGCUACAAUGCCCACUACAAAGCGAUGCCACCCGGCAACGGGGAGCUAAUCGCAAAAAGGUGGGCCCAGUUCGGAUUGGGGUCUGCAACCCGACCCCAUGAAGCCGGAAUCGCUAGUAAUCGCGGAUCAGCCAUGCCGCGGUGAAUACGUUCCCGGGCCUU
rnacentral:rRNA from 1 species